rnacentral:rRNA from 1 species
CUUAGUGGCGGACGGGUGAGUAACGCGUGGGUAACCUGCCUUACACUGGGGGAUAACACUUAGAAAUAGGUGCUAAUACCGCAUAAGCGCACGAAGCCGCAUGGAUUUGUGUGAAAAACUCCGGUGGUGUAAGAUGGACCCGCGUCUGAUUAGCUUGUUGGCGGGGUAACGGCCCACCAAGGCGACGAUCAGUAGCCGGCCUGAGAGGGUGGACGGCCGCAUUGGGACUGAGACACGGCCCAAACUCCUACGGGAGGCAGCAG